rnacentral:rRNA from 1 species
GAUGAACGCUAGCGGCAGGCCUAACACAUGCAAGUCGAGGGGUAACAGGAAAGCUUGCUUUUGCUGACGACCGGCGCACGGGUGCGUAACGCGUAUGCAACCUACCUCAUACAGGAGAAUAGCCCUUGGAAACGAGGAUUAAUACUCCAUGGUAUCAUUUUUUCGCAUGUUAAAAUGAUUAAAGAAUUUCGGUAUGAGAUGGGCAUGCGUCCCAUUAGCUAGUUGGUGAGGUAACGGCUCACCAAGGCGACGAUGGGUAGGGGGCCUGAGAGGGUGGUCCCCCACACUGGUACUGAGACACGGACCAGACUCCUACGGGAGGCAGCAGUGAGGAAUAUUGGUCAAUGGAGGCAACUCUGAACCAGCCAUGCCGCGUGCAGGAAGACUGCCCUAUGGGUUGUAAACUGCUUUUAUACAGGAAGAAACUUACCCACGUGUGGGUAACUGACGGUACUGUACGAAUAAGGACCGGCUAACUCCGUG